rnacentral:rRNA from 1 species
AAUGGGCGCAAGCCUGAACCAGCCAUCCCGCGUGAAGGAAGAAGGCGCUAUGCGUCGUAAACUUCUUUUCCAGGAGAAUAAAAUUUUGUACGUGUACGGAAUUGAAGGUAUCCUGGGAAUAAGCAUCGGCUAACUCCGUGCCAGCAGCCGCGGUAAUACGGAGGAUGCAAGCGUUAUCCGGAUUUAUUGGGUUUAAAGGGUGCGCAGGCGGAAAAAUAGGUCAGUGGUGAAAACCUGCAGCUUAACUGUAGAAUUGCCAUUGAUACUGUUAUUCUUGAGUAUGGUCAAGGUAGGCGGAAUGUGUAAUGUAGCGGUGAAAUGCUUAGAUAUUACACAGAACACCGAUUGCGAAGGCAGCUUGCUGGGCCAUUACUGACGCUCAUGCACGAAAGCGUGGGGAUCGAA